AGCAGUCGCCACGGGAAUACAGAGGGUGCGAGCGUUAAUCGGAUUUACUGGGCGUAAAGCGUGCGUAGGCGGCUUUUUAAGUCGGAUGUGAAAUCCCUGAGCUUAACUUAGGAAUUGCAUUCGAUACUGGGAAGCUAGAGUAUGGGAGAGGAUGGUAGAAUUCCAGGUGUAGCGGUGAAAUGCGUAGAGAUCUGGAGGAAUACCGAUGGCGAAGGCAGCCAUCUGGCCUAAUACUGACGCUGAGGUACGAAAGCAUGGGGAGCAAACAGGAUUAGAUACCCCUGUAGUCCCUGUCUCUUAUAA
rnacentral:rRNA from 1 species